AUUGAACGCUGGCUGCAGGCCUAACACAUGCAAGUCGAACGAGUGGCGGACUGGUGAGUAAUGUCUGGGAAACUGCCCGAUGGAGGGGGAUAACUACUGGAAACGGUAGCUAAUACCGCAUACCAUCGGAUGUGCCCAGAUGGGAUUAGCUAGUAGGUGGGGUAACGGCUAACCUAGGCGCCGAUCCCUAGCUGGUCUGAGAGGAUGACCAGCAAAACUGGAACGGAGACACGGUACAGACUCCUACGGGAGGCAGUAGUGGGGAAUAUUUCACAAUGGGCGCAAGCCUGAUGCAGCCAUGCCGCGUGUAUGAAGAAGGCCUUCGGGUUGUAAAGUACUUUCAGCGGGGAGGCGUUACACGCAGAAGAAGCACCGGCUAACUCCGUGCCAGCAGCCGCGGUAAUAC
rnacentral:rRNA from 1 species